rnacentral:tRNA from 1 species
GUCUGCGUAGUUCAAUGGAUAGAACGGGGUCCUCCUAAGACUCAAAUACAGGUUCGAUUCCUGUCGCGGACACCA